UACGUAGGGAGCAAGCGUUGUCCGGAAUCAUUGGGCGUAAAGCGCGCGUAGGUGGCUUCGUAAGUCCGUUGUGAAAGUCAAAGGCUCAACCUUUGAAAGCCGAUGGAUACUGCGGAGCUAGAGUACGGAAGAGGCGAGUGGAAUUCCAGGUGUAGCGGUGAAAUGCGUAGAUAUCUGGAGGAACACCGGUGGCGAAGGCGGCGUUCUGGACUGCAACUGACACUGAGGAACGAAAGCCAGGGGAGCAAACGGG
rnacentral:rRNA from 1 species